UGUUGUAGAUGAAGAAUAGCGCAGCACCUCCCUAUAUGGACAACCUCCCAAACCAGAGCUCACGAGCUCGGCCACUAAAACCACCAGUUCCAUUGGCAGACAACAGGCCCAGAGCUUAAUACUACCUGUGACGUUUCCUUGGCAUGGUGAUGCGGAUGCGUUCUCUCCAGAUGCAGUUCGGGUUUGGACACAGCGUAAGCCCAGCUCCAAAGUGACAAAGAGGGCAGCGGCCGACUUUCACAUGAUGCAAAAGCUCUGGAAUGCGUUCCCACAAUCCUGGUCUGCGACUCUGCUGGGAACCAACAUGGGGAUGCCUUGGAGAUGCCCAGAAUGCACCAAAGCAAAGUCCAUAUAGCGCAAGGAGAUCUUGUGAACGCAUGAAAAGAUGGAGAAAACAGAUAAUUUGUUUCCACACAUGGGAACCAAUAUAAAGUCCCUAAAUGUAAAGAUUGCGCCAAAUCACGCAAAUUCCACCGAUCCCUGAGAAUUAUGAGCAAUUUUGUAGACCACCCGCAACUUCCCGUCACAUUUUGGAAAUCAGCGCCAUUUUUGCAAGUCAAAUUUGUGUAAUCAAACGUGUG